rnacentral:lncRNA from 1 species
GAGAGAGAAAGAGGUGAAGAGAAGAACAAGAGUGUUGAAGGGAAAGCUUGAGGAAUCAAUUUGGGGUGACCUAGGAGCUGAAUUGAAGCAAAGGUUGGGAUUAAUCAUCUUCAAAGACGUUGUGCAGGAGUAAUGCUCGGUGAGUCUUUGCUUGGGAUAUCGGGAGCUUUCUCCGAUAUCGGUGUCGAGUCGGCUCUGGUCUAGGCUUGUUGUGUCGGUCUAGAUUAGGUUGUUUAUAUUUUCCUUUGGAUUAUUGUUUUGUUGAUGACUACCCGUAUGUUUGGGCUUUUGAGGUUUAUCUUUGGGAUAUGAUUUAUUUGCUCAUGGCAUGUACAUAUUUGAUCACUCUGAUUUAUAUUCCGUUGCAACUGUUGAGGUUUAUAUACAUGUCUAUCGGUUUUUGAAUUUUGAUGAGACGUAAUCUCUAUUUCUUGAAUAAAUGUAUUAUUCGCAUGUUUAAUUGCUUAAAUAGAAAUAGGAGUGUUACACAAUGGUUUUAUGGCACCGUGUCCAGAAAGUAGGAAAGAUAGAGAGAAGAGGAAAGAGCUUGAAGAUGGAGAAAUCUUGAGCUAGAGAGGAGAUUGAAGCCUAAGCUAGAAGGACUUGAAGUUAGAGGUAAGGGGGAUAGAUCUUUUCCAUUAAAUAAGCUAGAAUUCUCAUUUUUCACUUUUGAAUGGAUUAUGAUUUUGUUGAUUUUAAAUGUUCAUUUUCGUGCUCAAGUUUAUGUG